UGAGGAGCAUGACCUUCGGCGGGGGAUAGCCGGCCCAACGGCCGGGUAAUACCGCGUACGACCUUUCGGGGACAUCCCCGGAUGGUGAAAGCAGCAAUGCGCCGAUGGAGUGCCUCGCGGCCUAUCAGCUAGUUGGUGGGGUCAUGGCCCACCAAGGCGACGACGGGUAGCUGGCCUGAGAGGGUGACCGGCCACACUGGGACUGAGACACGGCCCAGACUCCUACGGGAGCAGCAGG
rnacentral:rRNA from 1 species